AUUGCCUCAGUAACGGCGAGUGAAGCGGCAAAAGCUCAAAUUUGAAAUCCCCCCGGGGAGUUGUAAUUUGAAGAUUGCGUCUUGGAGGCGACCGUGUCUAUGUUCCUUGGAACAGGACGUCACAGAGGGUGAGAAUCCCGUGCGGCACGGCCCCCGGCUCCUUAUAAGGCGCUCUCGACGAGUCGAGUUGUUUGGGAAUGCAGCUCAAAGUGGGUGGUAAAUUCCAUCUAAAGCUAAAUACAGGCGAGAGACCGAUAGCGAACAAGUACAGUGAUGGAAAGAUGAAAAGCACUUUGAAAAGAGAGUGAAACAGCACGUGAAAUUGUUGAAAGGGAAGGGCAUGCCGUCAGAUUGUCAGUGUGGGUAAGAAGCGGGGUACAAAGACUGUGGAACGUGGCCCUCGGGUGUUAUAGCCGCAGUUCAUGCCCCGUCUCUUUCCGAGGCCUGCUUUGAGGACACCGACGUAAUGACGGUACGCCGCCCGUCUUGAAACACGGACCA
rnacentral:rRNA from 1 species